rnacentral:rRNA from 1 species
UGGGGAAUAUUGGACAAUGGGCGAAAGCCUGAUCCAGCCAUGCCGCGUGUGUGAAGAAGGUCUUCGGAUUGUAAAGCACUUUAAGUUGGGAGGAAGGGCAGUAAGCGAAUACCUUGCUGUUUUGACGUUACCGACAGAAUAAGCACCGGCUAACUCUGUGCCAGCAGCCGCGGUAAUACAGAGGGUGCAAGCGUUAAUCGGAAUUACUGGGCGUAAAGCGCGCGUAGGUGGUUCGUUAAGUUGAAUGUGAAAGCCCCGGGCUCAACCUGGGAGCUGCAUCCAAAACUGGCGAGCUAGAGUAGGGCAGAAGGUGGUGGAAUUUCCUGUGUAGCGGUGAAAUGCGUAGAUAUAGGAAGGAACACCAGUGGCGAAGGCGACCACCUGGGCUCAUACUGACACUGAGGUGCGAAAGCGUGGGGAGCAAACAGG